rnacentral:piRNA from 1 species
UGGAGAGACUUUGACAGCCCAGG